rnacentral:lncRNA from 1 species
UUCUCCAGCUGAUGACUAGCUCAAAAUGCUCAAUUAUUCCUUCUAACUUGUUGUUGAUUAGUUCUUUGUCAAGGUGAUUUUUGGAAAAGUUUUGGGAGUAAGUUAAAAAUAAGGUUGUUCAAGCACCCAACAAUUUUUUCGAACUCAACCUCAAAGAUGACGGCUUUCUUAUAAUACCUAUUAUUUUUUCGAGACCUAGUUACAGACACAAACACUUAUAAACAUGAGUGUACACUUACCCCUAUGAAUGCACGCACACAGACUUUAUCUCUAUAAGUACCUCCG